GGACGAACGCUGGCGGCGUGCUUAACACAUGCAAGUCGAACGGAAAGGCCCUGCUUUUGUGGGGUGCUCGAGUGGCGAACGGGUGAGUAACACGUGAGUAACCUGCCCUUGACUUUGGGAUAACUUCAGGAAACUGGGGCUAAUACCGGAUAGGAGCUCCUGCUGCAUGGUGGGGGUUGGAAAGUUUCGGCGGUUGGGGAUGGACUCGCGGCUUAUCAGCUUGUUGGUGGGGUAGUGGCUUACCAAGGCUUUGACGGGUAGCCGGCCUGAGAGGGUGACCGGCCACAUUGGGACUGAGAUACGGCCCAGACUCCUACGGGAGGCAGCAGUGGGGAAUAGUGCACAAUGGGCGGAAGCCUGAUGCAGCAACGCCGCGUGCGGGAUGACGGCCUUCGGGUUGUAAACCGCUUUCGCCUGUGACGAAGCGUGAGUGACGGUAAUGGGUAAAGAAGCACCGGCUAACUACGUG
rnacentral:rRNA from 1 species